UGGCGCCCAGCUUAGGGCUUGAGUACGAAGGGACCAGUGAAGAUAACCACAGUGUUUUGUGUGGAAGACAUCUUGCGCAGGAACCUGCUGCCUCGACUAGAGAUCCUAGUAAGUUCGCGGUGAUCAUGGGGACAGACGUUAAAUAGCCAUGAAUUAUUUGUGGAACGGUUGAAAAAGGCUUUAAAGGCGCAAGGGAUAAAGUUUAAAAUACAUGAUUUGCUUAUAUGUUUUGAUUUUGUUAAAGAGAUUUUCCUAU
rfam:Mus musculus chromosome 2, GRC primary reference assembly.